GUAGAAGAGGGCUCCCUGCUGCGUAGAGGCAGUGGUUGCUCUUUCCGAAGCGUCUCGCGCUGUAUAAUAUAGCUCUAGUUCUGGCAACCAACAUCUAAUAUUGAAGGUUUUGAAGAGAAUGAGUAGCCAAAUGGUGGCGAAGAGCGAGUCAAGUCAUCAGCGUCUAUACGAUUUUGCGAAAAUGGCUCUCAUUAAAAUAUUCGCUCACCCCUACGCCACGGUGUGCGAGUUGUAUUGUGGAGGAGGUGCUGAUGCAGAUAAAUACCUCGACGCCCAAAUUGCUCACUACAUUGGUAUUGAUGUUUCUUCCUCUGGAAUUGACCAAAUUCGACAAGCAUGGGAGAGCAAUAGGAAAUCUUACACUGCCGAUUUCUUUCAUCUUGACCCUUCCGCGGAUAACAUAGAAACUCAUUUGGAGGAGAAGACCAAUACAGCUGAUUUUGUCUGCUGUUUGCAGCAUUUGCAGUUGUGUUUUGAAACUGAAGAGAAAGCGCGGAGACUUCUUCAGAAUGUGUCAUCUCUACUGAAACCAGGGGGUUAUUUUCUCGGUAUUACUCCUGACUCAUCUACUAUAUGGGCCAAGUAUCAGAAGAAUGUUGAAUCCUAUCAUAACAAAAGCAGCAGCAUGAAGCCAAACAUUGUUCCCAACUGCAUCCGGACAGAGAAUUACAUGAUUACUUUUGAAGUUGAAGAAGAAAAGUUUCCAUUAUUUGGAAAGAAAUAUCAGCUGAAAUUCGUUAAUGAUGUCUCGGCGGAAACCCAUUGCCUGGUUCAUUUUCCAAGUUUAAUCAGGCUGGCCAGGGAAGCUGGUCUUGAGUACGUAGAGAUCCAAAAUUUGACGGAAUUUUAUGAUGACAACAGUUUUGGAGUUCGCAAAUUGCAAGUCUUAAUUCAAUUUACUUUCUGUGGUUGUUGCUGUAAGAGCACAAUUAGCAGGCUUGCUUACAAACUAUGCUCCAAACCUUUUGGAUACUAGGGGUAGACUUCUUCCUCGAUCUUAUGACGCGCUUGGUCUCUAUACAACAUUUAUAUUUCAAAAGCCUGACCCAGAAAUUGUACCCCCAAUUGCAACUCCAUUAUUGCAAGAUGCUACUUAUAAUCAUGAUGACAUGACGAAUGAUUAUCAUGAGGGAACAAGUUGGUGGGAUGAUGAAAUAAAUGGACAUGUAGUAGAAUCUUCUAUUGGGCUGGGCAAGAUAAGCGAACAGAAGGGGAUAUUGGGCCCUGGCCCAGCAGAAUUACGUUUUCCAGAAGCACUUUGAUCUGACUAUUCUAGUGUAUGUUUGGAAAAUUCACAAACCAAGUUGAGACUGCGUGUUUUGCUAACUCUAUGAUUUGUUGCUUCUGGAAAUCCACGGUGGUGAAGCCUAGGGAUGCCGAAAAGAGUAAAUGCCCGUGCAUCCAAACAUGUGUGCCUAACGAAGCUAUAAGUUUAGAUAUUUUCGUUGAUUUAAUGCUGUUAAUAUUUUAGUAGCACCCCAAAAAAGAGGAAGUUGGGCUAUACUUUUUCCCUUUGUUUUUCCAAGGGUAAAGGUUAAGUGUUUUGUUUGACAUGUAGUCAGUAUUGACAGGUUAAAAUCGCAAAAUGUUAAUUUGGUUAGUUUAUAUUAUGUAAUGUAUCAGUGACACCGGAUCUUUGAUAUUAUCACUUUAAUGUCAUUAUAGUUCCCAAUUAUAAACAGGGAUGAAUUGGAUAAAUAUUAUAAUUUUAGGGUUUAUUAUGGAAUGUUUUUAAUGGAAGGGAUUUGGUUGA